rnacentral:rRNA from 1 species
CAGCAGCCGCGGUAAUACGUAGGGGGCAAGCGUUAUCCGGAGUUACUGAGUGUAAAGGGAGCGUAGACGGUUAAACAAGUCUGAAGUGAAAUGCCGGGGCUCAACCCCGGAGCUGCUUUGGGAACUGUAGAACUGGAGUGUCGGAGGGGUAAGCGGAAUUCCCAGUGUAGCGGUGAAAUGCCUAGAUAUUGGGAGGAACACCGGCGGCGAAGGCGGCUUACUGGACGACAACUGACGUUGAGGCUCGAAGGCGUGGGUAGCAAACAGGAUUAGAUACCCCCGUAGUCCCUGUCUCUUAUAC